rnacentral:rRNA from 1 species
UACGUAGGGGGCAAGCGUUGUCCGGAUUCAUUGGGCGUAAAGAGCGUGUAGGCGGCCAGGUAGGUCGGUUGUGAAAACUGGGAGGCUCAACCUUCAGAGGUCGACCGAAACCAUCUGGCUAGAGUCCGGGAGAGGAGAGUGGAAUUCCUGGUGUAGCGGUGAAAUGACGCAGAUAUCAGGAAGAACACCGGUGGCGAAGGCGGCUCUCUGGGCCUUACCCUGACGCUGAGGAGCGAAAGCGUGGGUAGCGAACAGG